UUAAGCGACUAAGCGUACACGGUGGAUGCCCUGGCAGUCAGAGGCGAUGAAGGGCGUGCUAAUCUGCGAUAAGCGCCGGUAAGGUGAUAUGAACCGUUAUAACCGGCGAUACCCGAAUGGGGAAACCCAGUGUGACUCGUCACACUAUCAUUAACUGAAUCCAUAGGUUAAUGAGGCGAACCGGGGGAACUGAAACAUCUAAGUACCCCGAGGAAAAGAAAUCAACCGAGAUUCCCCCAGUAGCGGCGAGCGAACGGGGAGGAGCCCAGAGCCUGAAUCAGCAUGUGUGUUAGUGGAAGCGUCUGGAAAGGCGCGCGAUACAGGGUGACAGCCCCGUACACAAAAGCGCAUGUGCUGUGAGCUCGAUGAGUAGGGCGGGACACGUGGUAUCCUGUCUGAAUAUGGGGGGACCAUCCUCCAAGGCUAAAUACUCCUGACUGACCGAUAGUGAACCAGUACCGUGAGGGAAAGGCGAAAAGAACCCCGGCGAGGGGAGUGAAAAAGAACCUGAAACCGUGUACGUACAAGCAGUGGGAGCACAGGUUUACCUGUGUGACUGCGUACCUUUUGUAUAAUGGGUCAGCGACUUAUAUUCUGUAGCAAGGUUAACCGUAUAGGGGAGCCGUAGGGAAACCGAGUCUUAACCGGGCGUUAAGUUGCAGGGUAUAGACCCGAAACCCGGUGAUCUAGCCAUGGGCAGGUUGAAGGUUGGGUAACACUAACUGGAGGACCGAACCGACUAAUGUUGAAAAAUUAGCGGAUGACCUGUGGCUGGGGGUGAAAGGCCAAUCAAACCGGGAGAUAGCUGGUUCUCCCCGAAAGCUAUUUAGGUAGCGCCUCGUGAAUUCAUCUCCGGGGGUAGAGCACUGUUUCGGCUAGGGGGCCAUCCCGGCUUACCAACCCGAUGCAAACUGCGAAUACCGGAGAAUGUUAUCACGGGAGACACACGGCGGGUGCUAACGUCCGUCGUGAAGAGGGAAACAACCCAGACCGCCAGCUAAGGUCCCAAAGUCAUGGUUAAGUGGGAAACGAUGUGGGAAGGCCCAGACAGCCAGGAUGUUGGCUUAGAAGCAGCCAUCAUUUAAAGAAAGCGUAAUAGCUCACUGGUCGAGUCGGCCUGCGCGGAAGAUGUAACGGGGCUAAACCAUGCACCGAAGCUGCGGCAGCGACGUUUAUGCGUUGUUGGGUAGGGGAGCGUUCUGUAAGCCUGCGAAGGUGGCCUGUGAGGGUUGCUGGAGGUAUCAGAAGUGCGAAUGCUGACAUAAGUAACGAUAAAGCGGGUGAAAAGCCCGCUCGCCGGAAGACCAAGGGUUCCUGUCCAACGUUAAUCGGGGCAGGGUGAGUCGACCCCUAAGGCGAGGCCGAAAGGCGUAGUCGAUGGGAAACGGGUUAAUAUUCCCGUACUUGGUGUUACUGCGAAGGGGGGACGGAGAAGGCUAUGUUGGCCGGGCGACGGUUGUCCCGGUUUAAGCGUGUAGGUGUGUGUUCCAGGUAAAUCCGGUUCACUUUAACACUGAGGCGUGACGACGAGGCACUACGGUGCUGAAGCAACAAAUGCCCUGCUUCCAGGAAAAGCCUCUAAGCAUCAGGUAACAUCAAAUCGUACCCCAAACCGACACAGGUGGUCAGGUAGAGAAUACCAAGGCGCUUGAGAGAACUCGGGUGAAGGAACUAGGCAAAAUGGUGCCGUAACUUCGGGAGAAGGCACGCUGACACGUAGGUGAAGUGAUUUACUCAUGGAGCUGAAGUCAGUCGAAGAUACCAGCUGGCUGCAACUGUUUAUUAAAAACACAGCACUGUGCAAACACGAAAGUGGACGUAUACGGUGUGACGCCUGCCCGGUGCCGGAAGGUUAAUUGAUGGGGUCAGCGCAAGCGAAGCUCCUGAUCGAAGCCCCGGUAAACGGCGGCCGUAACUAUAACGGUCCUAAGGUAGCGAAAUUCCUUGUCGGGUAAGUUCCGACCUGCACGAAUGGCGUAAUGAUGGCCAGGCUGUCUCCACCCGAGACUCAGUGAAAUUGAACUCGCUGUGAAGAUGCAGUGUACCCGCGGCAAGACGGAAAGACCCCGUGAACCUUUACUAUAGCUUGACACUGAACAUUGAGCCUUGAUGUGUAGGAUAGGUGGGAGGCUUUGAAGCGUGGACGCCAGUCUGCGUGGAGCCGACCUUGAAAUACCACCCUUUAAUGUUUGAUGUUCUAACGUGGACCCGUGAUCCGGGUUGCGGACAGUGUCUGGUGGGUAGUUUGACUGGGGCGGUCUCCUCCUAAAGAGUAACGGAGGAGCACGAAGGUUGGCUAAUCCUGGUCGGACAUCAGGAGGUUAGUGCAAUGGCAUAAGCCAGCUUGACUGCGAGCGUGACGGCGCGAGCAGGUGCGAAAGCAGGUCAUAGUGAUCCGGUGGUUCUGAAUGGAAGGGCCAUCGCUCAACGGAUAAAAGGUACUCCGGGGAUAACAGGCUGAUACCGCCCAAGAGUUCAUAUCGACGGCGGUGUUUGGCACCUCGAUGUCGGCUCAUCACAUCCUGGGGCUGAAGUAGGUCCCAAGGGUAUGGCUGUUCGCCAUUUAAAGUGGUACGCGAGCUGGGUUUAGAACGUCGUGAGACAGUUCGGUCCCUAUCUGCCGUGGGCGCUGGAGAACUGAGGGGGGCUGCUCCUAGUACGAGAGGACCGGAGUGGACGCAUCACUGGUGUUCGGGUUGUCAUGCCAAUGGCACUGCCCGGUAGCUAAAUGCGGAAGAGAUAAGUGCUGAAAGCAUCUAAGCACGAAACUUGCCCCGAGAUGAGUUCUCCCUGAGACUUAGAGUCUCCUGAAGGAACGUUGAAGACGACGACGUUGAUAGGCCGGGUGUGUAAGCGCAGCGAUGCGUUGAGCUAACCGGUACUAAUGAACCGUGAGGCUUAACCUU
rnacentral:rRNA from 1 species